UUGCCCUAGUAACGGCGAGUGAAGCGGCAACAGCUCAAAUUUGAAAUCUGGCUUCGGCCCGAGUUGUAAUUUGCAGAGGAAGCUUUAGGCGCGGCACCUCCUGAGUCCCCUGGAACGGGGCGCCACAGAGGGUGAGAGCCCCGUAUAGUUGGAUGCCUAGCCUGUGUAAAGCUCCUUCGACGAGUCGAGUAGUUUGGGAAUGCUGCUCAAAAUGGGAGGUAAAUUUCUUCUAAAGCUAAAUACCGGCCAGAGACCGAUAGCGCACAAGUAGAGUGAUCGAAAGAUGAAAAGCACUUUGAAAAGAGGGUUAAAUAGCACGUGAAAUUGUUGAAAGGGAAGCGCUUGUGACCAGACUUGCGCCGGGCUGAUCAUCCGGUGUUCUCACCGGUGCACUCUGCCCGGCUCAGGCCAGCAUCGGUUCUCGCGGGGGGAUAAAGGCCCUGGGAACGUAGCUCCUCCGGGAGUGUUAUAGCCCGGGGCGCAAUGCCCUCGCGGGGACCGAGGUUCGCGCUCUGCAAGGAUGCUGGCGUAAUGGUCAUCAGCGACCCGUCUUGAAACACGGACCAAGGAGUCAAGGUUUUGCGCGAGUGUUUGGGUGUAAAACCCGCACGCGUAAUGAAAGUGAACGUAGGUGAGAGCUUCGGCGCAUCAUCGACCGAUCCUGAUGUUCUCGGAUGGAUUUGAGUAGGAGCGUUAAGCCUUGGACCCGAAAGAUGGUGAACUAUGCUUGGAUAGGGUGAAGCCAGAGGAAACUCUGGUGGAGGCUCGCAGCGGUUCUGACGUGCAAAUCGAUCGUCAAAUCUGAGCAUGGGGGGCGAAAGACUAAUCGAACCAUCUAGUAGCUGGUUUACCGCCGAAG
rnacentral:rRNA from 1 species